rnacentral:rRNA from 1 species
GAGUUUGAUCCUGGCUCAGGAUGAACGCUGGCGGCGUGCUUAACACAUGCAAGUCGAACGAUGAAGAGAGCUUGCUCUUGGAUUAGUGUUCAACGGGUGACUAACACGUGGGUAACCUGCCCUUAACUCUGGGAUAAGCCUGGUAAACUGGGUCUAAUACCGGAUAUGACCUGUCAUCGCAUGGUGAUGGGUGGAAAGAUUUUUUGGGUUUGGAUGAACUCCUCCCAUAUCACCUUGUUGAGGAGGUAAUGCCUCUCCAAGGUGACAACGGGUAUUCGGCAUGAGAUCCUGACCGGCCACACUGGGACUUUGUACGGGCCAUUGUCCUACGGGAGGCAGCAGUGACAUAAUAUUGCAUGAUGAUUUGAAGCCUGAUGCACCUUCCUCCGAUGAGGGAUGAAGGCCUUCCUAUUGUACACCUCUUUCACGAGGUGAGAACCUAAAGUGACGGUUGCUGUCGAUGAAGCGCCGGCUAAAUACUCGCCAGACGCCGCGUGAAUACGAACGUGGCCCGCGUGAUCCGCAAUUAUUGGCGGUAAACCUGUCUCCAGCGGUUUGUCGGUUCCUGUCGAGACUUGGUAAGGCUCUUCUCGUUAUCUGCAAUGAAUACGCAUGCACCGCCGCGUGUGCGGGCACACUGCAAUUCCUGUGGUAUUGAUGCUUGGCGCCGAUCUCCCCAGGAACACCAAUUACUGCGGCAGCUACGUCGCGUGUAACUGACGCUGAGGAGCGAAAGCAUGGGGAGCGAACAGGAUUAGAUACCCUGGUAGUCCAUGCCGUAAACGUUGGGCACUAGGUGUGGGGGACAUUCCACGUUUUCCGCGCCGUAGCUAACGCAUUAAGUGCCCCGCCUGGGGAGUACGGCCGCAAGGCUAAAACUCAAAGGAAUUGACGGGGGCCCGCACAAGCGGCGGAGCAUGCGGAUUAAUUCGAUGCAACGCGAAGAACCUUACCAAGGCUUGACAUGAACCGGAAACGCCUGGAGACAGGUGCCCCGCUUGCGGCCGGUUUACAGGUGGUGCAUGGUUGUCGUCAGCUCGUGUCGUGAGAUGUUGGGUUAAGUCCCGCAACGAGCGCAACCCUCGUUCUAUGUUGCCAGCGCGUUAUGGCGGGGACUCAUAGGAGACUGCCGGGGUCAACUCGGAGGAAGGUGGGGACGACGUCAAAUCAUCAUGCCCCUUAUGUCUUGGGCUUCACGCAUGCUACAAUGGCCGGUACAAAGGGUUGCGAUGCCGUGAGGUGGAGCGAAUCCCAAAAAGCCGGUCUCAGUUCGGAUCGGGGUCUGCAACUCGACCCCGUGAAGUCGGAGUCGCUAGUAAUCGCAGAUCAGCAACGCUGCGGUGAAUACGUUCCCGGGCCUUGUACACACCGCCCGUCACGUCACGAAAGUCGGCAACACCCGAAGCCGGUGGCCUAACCCCUUGUGGGAGGGAGCCGUCGAAGGUGGGGCUGGCGAUUGGGACGAAGUCGUAACAAGGUAGCCGUACCGGAAGGUGCGGCUGGAUCACCUCCUUUCU